AUAGCAUCCUCGAUCACACAUUCUUCUUCUCUUCGAUCUCCCCUCCCUGGCGACGGCGGCGGUGACGGCGGCGGUGACGGCGAAGGCGACGAAGUUUGUGACAUUGAAUGAGUUUUAGUUUGCGGCUGAAUUUACUUGUGUCAAGCUGGGCGUCAUGAGGAGGGCUGUUGGUGAGCGUCGUGAGGAGGGUUGCUGGUGCAGGGUUAGUAGUGCAUUGGCAAACAGGAUUAUUCCUACAUCUUAAGACCAAUUACCUGUGCAAGGAUUAGUAGUGCAUUGGCAAACCGGGUUGCCAGAAGUAUGCCAACCAUUAAAGCCGCUAUCCAAAACCAUAACAUUGUUGAUUCCUGCAUCUUAUUUUAUCUCUGAUAAAUAAUCUAAAAACUUAUGCGCACAUGAUGGAUCUCGAACCUGCAAAGCAUGGCAUUUAAUUUAGAAUAGAUUGGUUACCGUUAAUUUCAAA